rnacentral:rRNA from 1 species
CCUACGGGAGGCAGCAGUAGGGAAUCAUCCGCAAUGGGCGAAAGCCUGACGGUGCAACGCCGCGUGAACGAUGAGGUUUUCGGAUCGUAAAGUUCUGUUAUGAGGGAAGAACAAGUGCCGUUCGAAUAGGUCGGCACCUUGACGGUACGUCACGAGAAGCCCCGGCUAACUACGUGCCAGCAGCCGCGGUAAUACGUAGGGGGCAAGCGUUGUCCGGA